rnacentral:rRNA from 1 species
CCAGACUCCUACGGGAGGCAGCAGUGGGGAAUAUUGCACAAUGGGGGAAACCCUGAUGCAGCGACGCCGCGUGAGUGAGGAAGUAUUUCGGUAUGUAAAGCUCUAUCAGCAGGGAAGAAAAUGACGGUACCUGACUAAGGAGCCCCGGCUAACUACGUGCCAGCAGCCGCGGUAAUACGUAGGGGGCAAGCGUUAUCCGGAUUUACUGGGUGUAAAGGGGGCGCAGACGGCAGCGCAAGCCAGGAGUGAAAGCCCGGGGCCCAACCCCGGGACUGCUCUUGGAACUGCGCGGCUGGAGUGCAGGAGGGGCAGGCGGAAUUCCUGGUGUAGCGGUGAAAUGCGUAGAUAUUAGGAGGAACACCAGUGGCGAAGGCGGCCUGCUGGACGAUGACUGACGUUGAGGCUCGAAAGCGUGGGGAGCAAACAGGAUUAGAUACCCCUGUA